rnacentral:rRNA from 1 species
CGAAACCGCGAACGGCUCAUUAUAUCGGUCGUGGUUUCUUGGAUCGUAAAUUCUACUUGGAUAACUGUGGCAAUCCUAGAGCUAAUACAUGCAUUGAGUUCCGACCUCUCAUACGAGGGGGACGAGCGCUUUUAUUAGACUGAAAAACCGAUCGGAAUUCCCUUCCGUUCAAUGUUGGUGACUCUGUAUAACUUUGGGCUGAUCGCACGGGCUCGACCCGGCGACGUAUCUUUCAAGUGACUGCCCUAUCAACUGUCGAUGGUAGGUUACGGGCCUACCAUGGUCGUAACGGGUAACGGGGGAUCAGGGUUCGAUCCCGGAGAGGGAGCCUGAGAAACGGCUACCACAUCCAAGGAAGGCAGCAGGCGCGCAAAUUACCCACUCCCGGCACGGGGAGGUAGUGACGAAAUAUAGCAAUACGGGACUCUUUUGAGACCCCGUAAUUGGAAUGAGAACAUACUAAAUCCCUUAGCGACGACCUAUUGGAGGCAAAGUCUGGUGCCAGCAUCCGCGGAAAGUCCAGCUCCAAUAGCGUAUAUUAAAGUUGUUGCGGUUAAAAAGCUCGUAGUUGGAUCUCAGUUCGGGGAGGUCGGGCCGCUUUCCCGGCGGUGACCGACCUGCCCCAACACGGGCCGGUUUCCUGAGGUGAUCUUCACCGGUUGACUCGGGUGACCGGCCAAGUUUACUUUGAAAAAAUUAGAGUGCUCAAAGCAGGCUGGUGUCGCCUGGACAAUGGUGCAUGGAAUAAUUGAAUAGGAUCUCGGUUCUAUUUUGUGUUGGUUUUCGGAACACGAGGAAAUGAUUAAGAGGAGCAGACGGGGGCAUUCGUAAUGCGACGCUAGAGGUGAAAUUCUUGGACCGUCGCACGACGAACUACUGCGAAAGCAUUUGCCAAGAAUGUUUCCAUUAAUUAAGAACGAAAGUUAGAGAUUCGAAGGCGAUCAGAUACCGCCGUAGUUCUAACCUUAAACGAUGCCAGCCAGCGAUCCGGCUGCGUCCCUGUCGUGGACGCGCCGGGCAGCUCCCGGGAAACCAAAGCUUUUGGGUUCCGGGGGGAGUAUGGUUGCAAAGCUGGAACUUAAAGGAAUUGACGGAAGCGCACACAAGGAAUGGGGCCUGCGGCUCAAUUUGACUCAACACGGUGGAACCCACCCGGCCCGGACACAGGAACGAUUGACAGAUCAAUAGCCCUUUCUUGAUUCUGUGACAGGUGGUGCAUGGCCGUUUCUAGUUGGUGGAGUGAUUUGUCUGCUUUAUUGCGAUAACGAGCGAGACUCUUGCCUAUUAAAUAGAUACACACAACUUCUUAGAGGGAUAAGCGGUGGCAAGCCGCAUGAAAUGGAGCAAAAACAGGUCAGGAUGCCCUUAGAUGUUCGGGGCCGCACGCGCGCCACACUGAAGGCGUCAGCGUGUACAUUCCCUGUCCGAGAGGACUGGGUAAUCACUCAAAUUCCUUCGUGCUGGGAAUAGGGGCUUGUAAUUAUCCCCCUUGAACGAGGAAUUCCCAGUAAUCACGAGUCAUCAGCUCGUGUUGAUUACGUCCCUGCGCUUUGUGCACACCGCCCGUCGCUAUUAUCGAUGAAUGUUGGAGUGAGGUCUUCGGACCGGUGCCCGGAAAGAACUUGUGUGUUCGAACUGGGAUGGCGGAAAGUGGACCGAACUGUAAUGCUUAGAGAAAGUAAA